rnacentral:rRNA from 1 species
UACGUAGGGUGCGAGCGUUGUCCGGAAUUAUUGGGCGUAAAGGGCUCGUAGGCGGUUUGUCGCGUCGGGAGUGAAAACCAGGUGCUUAACACCUGGCUUGCUUUCGAUACGGGCAGACUAGAGGUAUUCAGGGGAGAACGGAAUUCCUGGUGUAGCGGUGAAAUGACGCAGAUAUCAGGAGGAACACCGAUGGCGAAGGCAGGUCUCUGGGCCACUACUGACGCUGAGAAGCGAAAGCAUGGGGAGCGAACAGG